rnacentral:tRNA from 1 species
GCUGACGUGGCACAGGCGGUAGCGCACUUCAUUGGUAAUGAAGAGGUCGGCGGUUCGAGUCCGCUCGUCAGCU